AGAGUUUGAUCCUGGCUCAGAUUGAACGCUGGCGGAAUGCUUUACACAUGCAAGUCGAACGAUGAAGUCUAGCUUGCUAGACGGAUUAGUGGCGAACGGGUGAGUAAUAUAUCGGAACGUAUCCAUUAAUGGGGGAUAACUAGUCGAAAGAUUGGCUAAUACCGCAUACGUCCUACGGGAGAAAGCUAGGGACCUUCGGGCCUGGCGUUAAUGGAGCGGCCGAUAUCUGAUUAGCUAGUUGGUGAGGUAAAGGCUCACCAAGGCGACGAUCAGUAGCUGGUCUGAGAGGACGACCAGCCACACUGGAACUGAGACACGGUCCAGACUCCUACGGGAGGCAGCAGUGGGGAAUUUUGGACAAUGGGCGCAAGCCUGAUCCAGCCAUUCCGCGUGAGUGAAGAAGGCCUUCGGGUUGUAAAGCUCUUUCGCAAGGGAAGAAAACUUACCCUCUAACAUAGGGUGAGGAUGACGGUACCUUGAUAAGAAGCACCGGCUAACUACGUGCCAGCAGCCGCGGUAAUACGUAGGGUGCGAGCGUUAAUCGGAAUUACUGGGCGUAAAGCGUGCGCAGGCUGUUUUGUAAGUCAGAUGUGAAAUCCCUGGGCUCAACCUAGGAACUGCGUUUGAAACUACAAGACUAGAAUAUGUCAGAGGGGGGUAGAAUUCCACGUGUAGCAGUGAAAUGCGUAGAGAUGUGGAGGAAUACCAAUGGCGAAAGGCAGCCCCCUGGGAUAAUAUUGUCGCUCAUGCACGAAAGCGUGGGGAGCAAACAGGAUUAGAUACCCUGGUAGUCCACGCCCUAAACGAUGUCUACUAGUUGUUGGUGGAGUAAAAUCCAUGAGUAACGCAGCUAACGCGUGAAGUAGACCGCCU
rnacentral:rRNA from 1 species